UACACGCUGUGACUAGCAUAUCAAUAAGCGGAGGAAAAGAAACUAACAAGGAUUCCCCUAGUAACGGCGAGUGAAGCGGGAAGAGCUCAAAUUUGAAAUCUUAAAGGGUUUCCCUUUACGAAUUGUAGUUUAAAGAAGUGUUUUCUGUUGAGGUUUUGGUAAAAGUUCUUUGGAAUAGGACAUCAUAGAGGGUGAGAAUCCCGUAUUUGACCUUUACUUUCAACUUUGUGAUACACUUUCAAAGAGUCGGAUUGUUUGGGAAUGCAGUCCAAAAUGGGUGGUAAAUUUCAUCUAAAGCUAAAUAUUGGCGAGAGACCGAUAGCGAACAAGUACCGUGAGGGAAAGAUGAAAAGAACUUUGAAAAGAGAGUUAAACAGUACGUGAAAUUGUCAAAAGGGAAGCGUUUGACACCAGUGUUGUUUUUCUGAAAAUCAAUUAAAGAACUGUUUAUGCUAAGCUGUUUAGACUUUAUCAGCUAUCUGUUUAGUUUUGAGCUUUUCUUUAAUGCACUUUUCAGUUAACAAGUCAACAUCAAUUUCUUUUGCUGUAAAAAAGCUUGAGGAAGGUGGCUUGAGAUUCGUCUUAAGUGUUUAUAGCCUCUUGCCUAUGCAGUCGGAGAGAUUGAGGUCUGCAGCGUAGAUCCUUCGGGGCUAAAUGCAUUUGUGCUAAGUUAUAGCAUUUUAUAGACAACUUGUUGACUAUGAUUUGUCUUGUAGCUUACUCGCUUAUGUUAUUUUACCUACGCUUAGGAUGUUGACGCGCGUGUGUGCGUG
rnacentral:rRNA from 1 species